AGCAGCGCGCUCGUGCAUAUCUAUCUGCCAACUUCAGAAGACCAAUACUGAAAGAUUUCAACUUCCAAGAAGAAGAAAACACUGAUGGCAUUUGACAAGUCAAAGUGUGCUGAGGCAAAGCCUCAAGCCGUGUGGUGUGAUCGGGCUGGCAGUUCAACACUCGUGGAGUUCAGAGAAAGAAUGAGCUCUCAUACUCGAGUGCU